UACGUAGGGGGCGAGCGUUGUCCGGAGUUACUGGGCGUAAAGCGCCUGUGGGCGGUCCACCAAGUUUGGGGUGACAGUUGCCGACUUAAUCGGCAAAGUGCCUCAAAGACUGGCGGACUUGAGGGCCACAGAGGGACAUGGAACUCCAGGUGUAGUGGUGAAAUGCGUAGAUAUCUGGAAGAACACCAAAGGCGAAGGCAGUGUCCUGGGUGGUCGCUGACGCUGAGAGGCGAAAGCCAGGGGAGCGAACGGG
rnacentral:rRNA from 1 species